AACGAACGCUGGCGGCAGGCCUAAAACAUGCAAGUCGAACGCCCCGCAAGGGGAGUGGCGCACGGGUGAGUAACGCGUGGGAACGUGCCCCUUAGUACGGGUCAACGUCGGGGAACUGACGCUAAUACCGUAUAAUAUCUCCGGAUCAAAGAUUUAUCGCUGAGGGAGCGGCCCGCGUCUGAUUAGCUAGUUGGUGAGGUAAAGGCUCACCAAGGCUACGAUCAGUAGCAGGUCUGAGAGGAUGAUCUGCCACACUGGGACUGAGACACGGCCCAGACUCCUACGGGAGGCAGCAGUUAGGAAUAUUGGACAAUGGGGGAAACCCUGAUCCAGCCAUGCCGCGUGUGUGAUGAAGGCCCUAGGGUUGUAAAGCACUUUCGUUGGGGAUGAUAAUGACCGUACCCAAAGAAGAAGCCACGGCUAUAUUCGUGCCAGCCGCCGCCGUAA
rnacentral:rRNA from 1 species